GAGAUUGUCUACAAAGAAAAUCUCUAAACUGUGUUUAUUUCCAAUGAGGAGGGCUUUUUUUUUUCUCUCACCAAUAAGCUUGAAAAAAUUAUGCAAAAUGGUAGAAAUUGAGGCUUAUCAUCAAGGGGAAGCAGUUCAGGGUUGCAGAUUUUGGUAGUGCCUCUUAAGUGACAACUGAGAAUUUCCACAGUGUAAAAGCAGAAUCGCUGCCUGAGCUUACUUGAGACAGGGAACUCGCUCACCAAAGUUUUGUGUGGUUUUGCCAGACUUUCUGCCUCAAGUUCAUAUUCCUCCAAAGACAAGGCUAUGGUUUCAUUGGUCCCUCUGAGCCAGAGGCUGCCAUCCAGUUAAAGUAACUGGAAAGCAGACAGACUAGGGUAACCAUUUGUUGGUUGUGAAGAUAUUGUUAGGAGGAUGUAGGUCAUAAAAGAGUAUCUUGGAGAGAAACAAGGGAGAUGAAUGGGGAAGUAAAAGAGUGCGAGGAAGCCUCAUGUAUUCCUUUCUUGGGUCCCACAAGUCACACAAAGGCCUUAGGAUUUUCCUUUGAGGAAGAAGGGAAGCCAUUGAAGUUGGGGGACAUUGCCCAAACCCUCCCUGUUUGCUUGUCAUUUGCUUGGAUACCCUAGGUCUGCCAGAAUUUUCUGAAUAAAAUCCUAAAACCAUUGCAGUUCCAUGUUCAUCUUUUAAAGCAUGGCUUCUCUAGCAUGUCCUUUCAUGCAAGUCUGCCCUUGACUCAUAAAGAUGUGAUUUUGGAAUAAAACCGUUUCACUCACUACAGCUCUUCCUUUCUGAUCCCGUUUUAUAGUUCUGUUCCCCCUGAACUAUCUUUCUAGCUAAGGGACAAUUGUGGAUCCCGAUAGGCGAGGCAGUGUAUGCCUCCUUGGGUGGGGUGAAUGCAAAGAAGUCAGCUGAGCUUUGAGUGACAGGAAGCCCAGCUGGGCAGGGGAAAGAUAGGGAGGGAGAGAGAGAGCAGCUGUGAAUGCAGAUUGAAGUGGCCAGGCAAGACAAUGGCCUGGCAUGAUAAGCACCUUUCCAGCAAAGGUCAUCAGCCUGUCACACAGACACAACAGCCACACCUUGGCUUUUGUGUUAGCUCAAGUUUCAUUCAGGAGAGAAGUCUGUGUGGAUCUCUGAGAGAAAGGUUAAAGAUCACUGCAGCAAUUAGCAAGUUGAUCAAGGAAGAGACAUAAGAUAUCCACAUUCAUAUGUCUUGUCUCGAAUAUAUAAGCACCCUUCUGCUCUCUUCUGUAGCAGAAGGACUCUAUUCUAGCUUUAGAUGACCCCUCUCUCAACACUGGGCAGCAAUUUGAAAACAGUCUAAAUUCUCCCUGACUUUGCUGAGGUGGGGGUGAGAGGGCACCCCAGGGGCUUAGCUCUUAGAGGCUAAUAUGGACUAGGUAAUGGCUUGUUGAGCUUUUGAGAAGUCAGAUUUUUUGUCCCAGAGCUUAUCCUCUUCAGGCUUUGAGGCCACCUGUAGUAUCUUUAAAAGGACAUCUUUGCCCGUCUUCCCCCUUGCCUUUUGUAGUACUUCUUUCCCACCCCCCCCCCUCACCCCC
rnacentral:lncRNA from 1 species